rnacentral:tRNA from 1 species
GGAGGGCUGGCUGAGCGGCCGAAAGCGACGGUCUUGAAAACCGUUAGUGCGGUGACCCCGUGCUCAAGGGUUCGAAUCCCUUGCCCUCCG